ACGCGCAGAACNUUACCAACCCUUGACAUCNUGUGCUACUACCAGAGAUGGUACGUUCCCUUCGGGGACGCAGUGACAGGUGCUGCAUGGCUGUCGUCAGCUCGUGUCGUGAGAUGUUCGGUUAAGUCCGGCAACGAGCGCAACCCACAUCUUUAGUUGCCAGCAGGUUAAGCUGGGCACUCUAGAGAAACUGCCCGUGAUAAGCGGGAGGAAGGUGUGGAUGACGUCAAGUCCUCAUGGCCCUUACGGGUUGGGCUACACACGUGCUACAAUGGCAGUGACAAUGGGUUAAUCCCCAAAAGCUGUCUCAGUUCGGAUUGGGGUCUGCAACUCGACCCCAUGAAGUCGGAAUCGCUAGUAAUCGCGUAACAGCAUGACGCGGUGAAUACGUUCCCGGGCCUUGUACACACCGCCCGUCACACCAUGGGAGUUGGUUCUACCCGACGACGCUGCGCUAACCCUNNGGNG
rnacentral:rRNA from 1 species